ACAACAUUCGGAACGUCGGUCUACCGAGCAAUAUCACCUGCUCGGUGGAAGAUCUUCUCUCCAUCGU
rnacentral:pre_miRNA from 1 species